CUCUUUGCUCGAACAAAACCUCUCCUCUCAACGUCGCUGCGAGUAUUUCCAGCGCAAAUCCUCCAACCUCUCCUCCUCUUCUCCCUCUCCAUUAUUUCCAUUUCCGAUCUAUCAAUCCCUAUUUUUCUAGGGUUUUCAGUCCCCGAUACUCCAUUUUCCUCCACAGAUUCGUCAUAUAAUAGCCUUCUCGCGGCUUCAGCGGCAAAAAUGCCUCUCAGACUCGAAAUCAAGAGAAAACUCGCUCAAAGAUCAGAAAGAGUGAAAUCUGUGGAUCUGCAUCCGACAGAACCAUGGAUCCUUGCAAGUCUAUAUUCAGGAAGUGUCUGUAUCUGGAACUACCAGUCUCAGACUAUGGCGAAGUCUUUCGAGGUCACUGAAUUACCAGUGCGAUCAGCAAAAUUUAUCGCACGCAAACAGUGGGUUGUGGCCGGAGCAGAUGACAUGUUUAUUCGUGUUUACAAUUAUAAUACAAUGGAUAAGGUCAAAGUGUUUGAAGCACACACAGAUUACAUCAGGUGUGUGGCUGUCCAUCCAACCCUUCCAUACGUGUUGUCAUCGUCAGAUGACAUGCUUAUAAAGCUCUGGGAUUGGGAGAAGGGCUGGAUGUGUACUCAGAUUUUCGAGGGACACUCACACUAUGUGAUGCAAGUCACAUUUAAUCCAAAAGACACCAACACAUUUGCAAGUGCCUCCCUCGAUCGCACCAUAAAGAUAUGGAAUCUUGGUUCCCCAGAUCCAAAUUUUACAUUGGAUGCCCAUUUGAAAGGGGUGAACUGUGUUGAUUACUUUACUGGUGGUGACAGACCAUAUUUAAUCACUGGUUCUGAUGAUCAUACUGCUAAGGUGUGGGACUACCAAACUAAAAGUUGUGUUCAGACACUAGAAGGCCAUACACAUAAUGUUUCUGCUGUUUGUUUCCAUCCUGAACUUCCCAUUAUAAUAACAGGUUCAGAGGAUGGGACUGUUCGUAUAUGGCAUGCAACAACGUAUAGGCUUGAGAACACAUUGAAUUAUGGUCUGGAACGAGUAUGGGCUUUAGGAUAUAUGAAAGGUUCUCGCCGGGUUGUAAUUGGAUAUGAUGAAGGAACAAUUAUGAUAAAAAUUGGCCGAGAAGAGCCAGUAGCCAGUAUGGACAGCAGUGGGAAAAUCAUAUGGGCUAAGCAUAAUGAGAUUCAAACUGUAAACAUCAAGUCUGUAGGAGCAGAUUUUGAGGUUACAGAUGGAGAAAGACUGCCUUUGGCUGUGAAGGAGUUAGGGAGCUGUGAUCUUUACCCUCAAAGCUUAAAACACAACCCAAAUGGGAGGUUUGUUGUGGUUUGUGGGGAUGGAGAAUACAUCAUAUAUACAGCUUUGGCCUGGAGAAAUAGAUCCUUUGGUUCAGCAUUGGAAUUUGUUUGGUCAUCAGAUGGAGAAUAUGCAGUUAGGGAAAGUACAUCAAGGAUUAAGAUUUUCAGCAAGACAUUCCAGGAAAAGAAAAGUAUACGGCCAACAUUUUCUGCUGAGCGUAUUUUCGGGGGAACUUUGUUGGCAAUGUGCUCAAACGACUUUAUUUGUUUUUAUGAUUGGGCUGAAUGCAGGUUGAUUCGCCGAAUUGAUGUUAAUGUCAAAAAUCUUUAUUGGGCUGAUAGUGGUGAUCUGGUCGCAAUUGCCAGCGAUACAUCAUUCUACAUCCUUAAGUACAAUAGAGACAUCGUGUCGUCUUCUUUGGAAAGUGGAAAGCCAGUGGAUGAGCAGGGUGUUGAGGAUGCAUUUGAGCUUCUGCAUGAAACGAAUGAGCGGGUCCGAACUGGAAUAUGGGUUGGGGACUGUUUCAUUUAUAAUAACUCUUCUUGGCGACUUAAUUACUGCGUUGGUGGUGAGGUGACUACGAUGUUUCACUUGGACCGUCCUAUGUAUUUGUUGGGUUAUCUUGCCAGUCAAAGCCGGGUGUAUCUAAUAGACAAGGAGUUCAAUGUUAUGGGUUAUACCUUACUUCUCAGCUUGAUCGAGUAUAAGACUCUUGUGAUGCGUGGAGAUCUGGACCGGGCAAAUGAAGUGUUGCCUUUGAUUCCGAAGGAGCAUCAUAAUAGUGUCGCCCGCUUCUUGGAAUCUCGAGGUAUGCUGGAGGACGCACUGGAAGUAGCUACAGAUCCCAACUAUAGAUUUGAUCUAGCCGUACAGCUUGGGAAACUAGAGGUUGCGAAGGCAAUCGCUGUUGAAGUACAAAGUGAAUCAAAAUGGAAGCAGUUAGGAGAGUUGGCUAUGUCUACUGGAAAGUUAGAAAUGGCCGAGGAAUGCUUAAUGCAUGCCAUGGACUUGAGUGGCCUGUUGCUUCUGUAUUCUGCUCUUGGUGAUUCUGAAGGAAUAUCAAAACUUGCAUCUCUUGCUAAAGAGCAAGGGAAGAAUAACGUUGCCUUCCUUUGCCUAUUCAUGCUAGGUAAAUUGGAGGAGUGUCUCCAACUAUUGGUAGAGAGCAAUCGGAUACCAGAGGCUGCUUUGAUGGCACGAUCUUACCUUCCAAGCAAGGUUUCUGAGAUUGUAGCAAUUUGGAGAAACAACCUCAAUAAGGUUAACCAAAAAGCUGCUGAGUCUUUGGCGGAUCCUGAAGAGUACCCUAAUUUGUUUGAGGACUGGCAAAUUGCUCUUGCCGUUGAGUCUAAUCUUUCACAGAAAAGGGGUUCCUAUCCUCCUGCUGAGGAAUAUUUAAGCUAUGCUGAGAAAGCCAACAUCAAUCUUGUAGAAGCAUUCAAAAGCAUGCAAGUUGAUGAGGAUGAAACACCCCUUGAAAACGGAGAAGCCCAUCAUGAGGUGGUAGAAGCAAAUGGCGAAGAGGGUGAAGAAGAGGCUGUCAAGUUGGAUGCUGAAGAUUCUGCUGAUGGCGCUGUCCUUGUUAAUGGCAAUGAGGCUGAUGAAGAGUGGGGUACGAAUAACGAAGGAACCCCAUCAGCCUAAAAGCAAUUGGUUGGGCAAGUGUAAAAUUCCAAAUUUUGUCUCUGUGCUUGCGCCACGACAUUAGGUGUCACCAAGAUAGCCAAUUCCAGCAGUCAUACAGGUCCCAGCCCAUUGGCAGCCCUGAACUGUACUCAGAGGUGGACACACAAAACAAUCUUCUUUGAUGCCGACCAUUCUGCAGGGGGAUGGGAUUAGAAGAAUCUUCCCACUGAAUUGCAUGCUUUCCCACUUUAGGUUGAUGAGGGAGGACUGAAAGGCGGUGAGAAACCCUGGUUACCCAUGGAUCUUUGCAGGUGGGGGUUUUUGAUCAGGUUGAUGAGGGAGGAGUGAUAGCUCUACUCCAACAUGAACGAUCCCUUUCCUUGAUUUUGGCGUAUAUGCUUGGAAGCUUAUUCUUUCUGUGUACACCAUUAGAACAAUUUGAUUUGGCUAGGGAACACACCGAUCCGUUGGCUAUAUCUCUCUUCUUUUCUUUUC